GGGCUCAUAGCUUAGUAUGGUAGAGCGCUCGGCUCAUAACCGAGUGGUCGUCGGUUCAAAUCCGACUGGGCCCA
rnacentral:tRNA from 1 species